UAAUCACUUGUCUUUUAAAUGAAGACCUGUAUGAAUGGCACCACGAGGGUUUAACUGUCUCCUUCCCCCAGUCAAUGAAAUUGAUCUGCCCGUGAAGAAGCGGACAUAAAAACAUAAGACGAGAAGACCCUAUGGAGCUUCAGGCUAAAGACUCAAACACGUAAAGAAAUCUUUCACGAACAAAAGAAGAAGAAUAAAUUUAAACUUAAUGUAAAUGAUCACAUGCCUUCGGUUGGGGCGACCACGGGGGAAAACAAAGCCCCCGAAUGGAAUGAAGACAUCUUCCAAACCAAGAAAUACACUUCUAAGUAACAGAAAAUCUGACCAAACAUGACCCGGAACUAAAUUACCCGAUCAAUGAACCAAGUUACCCUAGGGAUAACAGCGCAAUCCUUUCCCAGAGUCCC
rnacentral:rRNA from 1 species